rnacentral:miRNA from 1 species
UGUCUCUUCUCUCUCUGUGUGGUGUGUGCAUGUGUGUUUCAGAAAUAUCACUCACACACACACACACACACACUCAAACUCACACACUCACAC